GGUUCCAACCCCCAUCUGUCCACCCACCCUCAUAUCACACCACACACACCCCUGCUCGCAAACCCCUCUCAUCUGCUCGCAAUCCAUGGCAGUUGAGCUACGGAGAACUUAGUGAGGUGUGGUCGCCCGGCUGAAGGUGGUGAUUUGGAGACGCCGGCGCGACUGCUGCCUUGGCCAGCGCCUUGUUUAGAGGAGUCAGCAAAAUUUACUUGUGUGCUGUCCGUCUGUUAGUUAGUUCAUCACAUGGUGGCGCCACUGGAGCAGCCGGCACCGCAUGCCACCUUGGAAAAAGACCAGCGAGACGCCGCCACAGCCACAGAGAAUAGCGGCAGGGAUCACGGAGCUGCCGACAUAGCAGAUGCUGAUCCAGGCGAAGCAAUAUGCGCUCCUGGAUCCGCACCUUCUGUCACGUCAAGGAUUUCGGUGCAGAAGGUGUGCUCGCUCGUUGGCAAGUUUAACAAAUUUAAGAGGGAUUUGGUCGAGGAGAUAGGCUUUGGUGGGAUGCUGAGGAUCAAGAUGCUGGCAAAGUUGAAUUUGAAGUUCAGCGCGUGGCUAAUGGAAAGAGUCGACGUCGAGUCGAGUACACUGAAAAUAGACGAGCAAAGGGUUCUGCAGAUCCAGGACCAUGAUGUCCAGAAGGUAUUCAGUCUGCCAUGCGGCACCAGAUCGAUAUGCCCCGAUACAACCGAGCCGUCUGAAGCUUGCAAAGAGUUCAUGCGAGCUUCUGCCUAUUUGAGCAAAGGUGCGCAUAGUCUAAAGGCCGCGGAGGCUUAUCUCCUGAGAGAUGACAUCAAUGGAGAUUCCAGCAAUGUCCAGAUAGAUUGCUUCAAGAUAGCCUUUGUUAUUUUUGUUGUUGGGCACCUCUUGGCUCCAUCAACUAAGCAUGACUACAUCACCAUAGAUUUCUGGGCCGCACUCAACGAUAUCUCGCAAAUUAAAGAAUUUAAUUGGUGUGCUUAUGUACUCGAGCAUUUGAACAGAGCUGUUGGGAAGUUGAAAACUGAUAUCCGCAACCGGAACAUCACUGUACAUCUUGUUGGCUGCCACCUGUUUCUUCAGGUAUUCUACUUGGACAAUCUUGAUCUUGGUCCACUUUCCAAGACAAAAGACCAUCUACCAAGGAUUAGUCUUUUUGACUACGAGUCGGUUAAGAAGAUGAUAGAAGUGAUUACUAGCAACGUGGAUGGAGAUACAUCAUUCGCUGGAGCUAGUUUUAGGCGCGCUCAAGAUGUUUGCUACUCCAGAGUCCACUGUGAAAGCCACACUCACCGAGCAGAUGUAGCUUCUGACCUGCCCCAUCAUGCCCCAGGUUUUGUUGGCACAAAGCACCAACACAACCCAAUUACUCCCAUGCUACGAAGCAGCUUCACUGAAACUGGACAAGAAGAUUUCUCCAACCAUCUCCGAUUGAAAUACCCGUCACUUUGCAAACGCAGGCAGACCACCCGCUUAUGACCAUUUUGGAAGAACAUAAUGCACACAUGAUGGAAAAUAUAUCUGAAAUUAGGCGAAGUUGCGAAGUGGCGAUGUCUACCUUAGCGGACAAGCUUCUUGGCUAUAUAUCUGAGAAUCGCUGUUGCUGCAGAGCGGUGGGACGAACCGAUUGUUUACUGAGGUCACCGCACACAAUUCAUGAGAGUUCAACCGAGCAGAAUUCACUCUCACAAACGGGAUGCACCUGAGCCCACUGGAGCAGGACAUCACAAGAAGAUCCGGGUGAACCAACGUCUAGUUGAGACAGACCUUCAAGCAAGUAUACCUGGAUGCUCAACUAACAACAGCCUACCCUGCAGUCCUUUACAAGUUGACAUCAACCUGGCCGCACCUUAGUCCAGAUGAGCAUCUUUAUUUUGCUUUCAGCAUCAACUUUCACGCUGUAUGUAACACUGGAUCAGCAGCCCUCAUGUCAUCAGAGAUGUCCGUUGUCUUCGUAGCAUAGUGUCUUAGGCUUUCAUCACCAACUUGCACGAUAUAUGUGAACUCUGAUUGUUCACGGCUUAGGUUGCUGCAUACUGUCUUAAGCGAUCGUUUGGUGCGCAUUCUCUAGGGUCCCAAAGAAAUUCCCGAUAAUGCUGUAAACUCUAGCCAGGCUAACAUGUUUCUCCCUGAGUUGCUUAACCAAUUAAGUCUUUUGUGCAAUUGCCAA